UAUAGAGGGGGCAAGCGUUGUUCGGAAUUACUGGGCGUAAAGGGCGCGUAGGCGGCCUGUUAAGUCGAACGUGAAAUCCCUGGGCUCAACCCAGGAACUGCGUCCGAUACUGGCAGGCUUGAAUUCGGGAGAGGGAUGCGGAAUUCCAGGUGUAGCGGUGAAAUGCGUAGAUAUCGGGAGGAACACCGAUGGCGAAGGCAGGUCUCUGGGCCACUACUGACGCUGAGAAGCGAAAGCAUGGGGAGCGAACAGG
rnacentral:rRNA from 1 species